UCGUGUGCUCCCCCCGUGACACUAUCUUUAAAUUUAGCACUGAAAGAAAAUGGAGCGCAAUGUCCAUUGUUAUUUUAAAGGUAAAUUUUUAUUUAAAUUCCUCAGAAUCUGCGGUAGGAGGCACACCUUACUAUGAUGAUGUCAGCACAGGUCCAACAGAGCAACAAGUCACACCAGAGAAUUAUGAUGAUGUAAUCACUGUCGGACUGACACAUCAUACUAGAGGUGACAUAUCAGAAAGCUAUGAUGAUGUUGUCAUCAUAAGACAGCUCUCCAAUAAUAAAGCAGAGGAAGAUCUGGAGGAGUAUGAUAAUGUAAGGAAUGUCAGUGAAGAUGUGCGAGACCUGUCUGCAGACUAUGAUUAUUUGAGGGAAGAGCCAGGAAAACAGGGAGGGACUGUUUAAGUCAGUGACUACACCCACUGCCUCACAUCUUAUUACAGCUUUUAGUUGCUCUGCACUUAAAAGUGUUGAAUGUACCAACACAAUUGCAUUUAGCCAAAGCUUGCUGUUGUUACAAUUACUAGACAUUAAUAGAAAACAUGGACAUCAAUUCAAUACAAAUAUAGAACAAAUUCAUAAAAAAAGACACCUGCUUUUAAAAAGCUGAAGGUGUCCAGGUCAAAAGCACCUGCAGAACUAAAUGACAAACAUGCUUUUUACUCUUUUGCUCUUCAGCUAUAUUCUUUUUGCAAGAAAAGAUUGUUGCACACUGCUAUGUAUUGUAAAUGUAUUUAUCUUAUGAGUGCAUUUAGCAAAAAAUAAAAAUUCU
rnacentral:lncRNA from 1 species